GGUUAGGGUGUUGAAUUCAUGAUUGUAAGAUUGUGGUUUCAAUUCCUGGACUGGGCGAUGCGUUGUGUUUUCAAGCAAAACAUUUCAUUUCACAAUGCUCCACUCCCCUCAGUGGGUAAAAAUGAGUAUUCCUUUGAUAGAACAGUGUCCUAUCCAGAGGAGAACAUAUACACCAGAGAAUCCAGGAAACCAGCCCCAGGAGUCUACAUGACUUGGGAAGAAACUUUAUCCAUUUUUAUAUGUACCAAUAGCUGCUUAACAUACCUCUACUAAUAUUUGAAACCAAAUUUUUUUUUCUGUUGUAAUUAGCCAAUAAUACAUUUAAAUAAGUCUAAAGUAUUAAAACUAGUGGAAAAAGGAAAAGAAAA